GGGAGAGGGAGAAGAGAAAGCACUUAGUGUUCUCACCAUUUCAAGACGCAUGACUGAAAGAAAAGGGAGAGAGAGAUAAAGCCCACUUCUGAUAUCAUAAAGUAGUGGUGAGGGGAACCACACCAGACACUACACAGGAGGAGGGGAUUAUCGGGGACCAUCUCAGAAGCUGGUUGCCACUGCUGCUGUCUUAUCCUUAAAGAACUGGUCAUCUAUUGCAGACCCUCUCCUCCUCAGCCUGAAAAGAUCAACGAAGAAGGUAACCUGAACUGAAUCUUCAGUAAUGUUUAAAAGAACGAGAUCCAGAGAGGGUGCUCGGGGAAAUCCUGGCUGGACACCAGAUUGCUGCACACUCCCCUGCAGCCACUUUGCUUGGAGAACUAACACAGGUCUAUAAAGGGAGCUCUGAGCCCGGGACCCUCAGCAACCUCAACCAGAGUAAUUUGCAAUAGAGGUGGCCAAGGACCUGUAACAGUGUUGCCCAGAGACUCAGGA
rnacentral:lncRNA from 1 species